UGGCUCAGUGGUUAAGAGUACUGGCUACUCUUCCAGUGGACCUGGGUUCAAUUCCCAG
rnacentral:tRNA from 1 species